AACGAACGCUGGCGGCAGGCUUAACACAUGCAAGUCGAGCGCCCCGCAAGGGGAGCGGCAGACGGGUGAGUAACGCGUGGGAAUCUACCCAUCUCUACGGAAUAACGCAUGGAAACGUGUGCUAAUACCGUAUACGUCCUUCGGGAGAAAGAUUUAUCGGAGAUGGAUGAGUCCGCGUUGGAUUAGCUAGUUGGUGGGGUAAAGGCCUACCAAGGCGACGAUCCAUAGCUGGUCUGAGAGGAUGAUCAGCCACACUGGGACUGAGACACGGCCCAGACUCCUACGGGAGGCAGCAGUGGGGAAUAUUGGACAAUGGGCGCAAGCCUGAUCCAGCCAUGCCGCGUGAGUGGUGAAGGCCCUAGGGUUGUAAAGCCCUUUCACCGGUGAAGAUAAUGACGGUAACCGGAGAAUAAGCUCCGGCUAACUCCGUGCCAGCAGCCGCCGCGGUAA
rnacentral:rRNA from 1 species